UACGUAGGCGACAAGCGUUAUCCGGAAUUACUGGGCGUAAAGCGCACGCAGGCGGCAGCUUAAGUCUGACGUGAAAUCUCCUGGCUUAACUGGGAGAGGUCGUUGGAAACUGGGCAGCUUGAGGUGGUGAGAGGGGUGCAGAAUUCCCGGUGUAGUGGUGGAAUGCGUAGAUAUCGGGAGGAAUACCAGUGGCGAAAGCGGCGCCCUGGCACUGACCUGACGAUCAUGUGCGAAAGAGUGGGGAGCAAACGGG
rnacentral:rRNA from 1 species